rnacentral:tmRNA from 1 species
GGGGGCGUCCGGUCUCGACGGGGCAGUUGAGCUUCGGGAUUGCGAGCCGAGAGCCGCGUGCGUUACAGCGCAGCGUUUACAAACGCCAACAAGAACUCCGCUUUCGCCCUCGCUGCGUAAGCAGUAAGGACUGAAGCCCCGGGACGUUGAUCCCGGGCGUUGCCCUCCGUCAAUCCGGCGGACAGAGGAGCGGCGUCACAUAGACCGGAUCGCCACCCCGGGGGCGCCGCGGCCCCGGGGUGGGACAGUCACCGCGGCUGGCAGAAGCGGAUCCCGUCGGGAGGAGCCGCCAAGCGAGAUCAAAUUCCCUGAACACGCUCGUAGAGAUCCUGGAGGAAGCUGCUUCGGACGCGGGUUCAACUCCCGCCGCCUCCACCA